AUGCCCGCCUCCACCUCGCUCCUCCACCUCUACGACUGCUGGUCCGCCUACAAGUACGUCAACUUCUCCCGGACCAUCUACGACGCCAUGGCGUACCUCAACGACACCAUCACCGUCAACAACAACUACAUCUCCAUGCUCGCCGCGCUGAAGCGGUACGGCGACGACACGUCCGUCUGGGCACCGCCGCAGACGGAGCGCGACGGGUACUGGCCUUCGCUCGCGGCCUCGGGGGGCGACGUCGACGCGCACGGCGUGCCCAAGGGGCUCCCCGCGGACGCGACGGUGUGCGGCGUCGGGUGCGACUACAAGACAGUGCGGGAGACGGUGUGCGGCGCCGGGCCUCGCCUUCCAUGCGCGUCCGCGCCUUCGCCGGUUUGCGAGUCACCGGCAAGCUGCCCCGGCCUCAAGUUGCCUCCGCUAUCGGGCUUCACCAGCAAGCAACAACGCCCGCUGGUCGUCUUCUCCAUGGUCAUCCCACGAGUCACGCCCGCGUCCACGCUCGCCGGGUUCCUCACCGGGCACACGGGGCACGAGGACGGAGCGGCAGCGGUCGAGCUCGGUGGGCUCGUGCGCAGUGCGUUCGUCAGUCGGAUGGGGGGCGGCUGGAUUUUUUUUUGUCCCAGAUGCAAAAAAUCUGCCGGUGCCUCCUCAGAGGCCAAAAAACGCCUCCACAACGGCUGGAGAUGCUCUAAGCUAUUAGGGUCCAAAAAACAACAGCGACCUCAGCACACCGCACAAGCUGUCAAACUUUUGGGCCGUCAGCGUACCACGCAGCCUAGCACACACACGAUCCUCCACCAGGGCGUUCAGAAGCCACGUGAUCUCUGCUGUUCAGCUGGUCCAUGUAUCAUGCUCCGGGUGUUGGAGUACUCUGGAGCUAGACUGCCCUCCGUCUUGCCAGGACAUAUGGACCGCAUUCUCUCCGCAGCUGCUGGUGGAGAUAACAGCGAAAACAAUGGAGAAAUCUAUGAAAAAAAUGCGCCAGCAGCUCAAUAUCACAUUUGUCUGCAUCCAGGAGGCAAAUCCUCCUCGGGAUCGGCUCCGUUGCAGCAGUUCAGUCGAUCCCCCACGGGAUCCACGCCGGCAGACGCGCCAGCAACAGCGCCAGCCGACCGCGCGGCUGUUCCCAGCCCAGCGCGCGCCAUGCGUCACGCCUCAACUGGUGGCGGCCCGAGCUCCUCCCCGCGCCAACCCUCGUCCGGCACGCGGCAGCUCGCGGCUCGUCAGGACGGCGCGCGAUUCCGUGACCAGCCGGUCACGUACAAGCGGCGCGACCCGAUUCGCCAGUCUGACACGGGGCACGGGCCUGCUGCGGGAUCUGGCGCGGACUCCUGCGCACCCGCGCGCGCGUCCACACGCCUGACUGGCAUGCUGCACCUGAUCAAACUGCCACAGAAGAUCCGGCGGGAGAAGAUUCUCCUACAGGAGCUUCUGCUCCGGGAUUCUCUGUGGCUGGAGAUCUCGCUGUUGCACUGUCACGACGUACACGACCACAACAUGGGGUAA
rnacentral:rRNA from 1 species